CUUGGCAGCUGCCCUUUUGAAAACCACAAAUAGGAGAAGGAAUGACCUGCAGGGCACAACGUUUUUUAUAUUGUUUUUUAAAUGAGAAAACUGAUUUCUCUAAACCCACAAACUAAAAAGUGAUUGUAAAAAUAACGAAAUGCAGAUCAUUCCAGACAAUUCUAGCAUUCUAGACACUACUAGUAUUGAAAUUUACCAGUAAAAGAAAUGAGGUUAUGAAUUAUUUGGGGGUUAAGACGGACAGCUGGGUAGUUUAUACACAUUCAACACCCUUACUGAGACCAUCUAAUGCCUCUGUUUAAACUUGUUGAAAGGCCGGUGACUCAAAACUUGCAUUCACCACUUUGGGAAAACCGCUACAAUUCUACAUGAAAGAGCAACAUUUUCACAGGAUGUUGAGAAUGACCUUGGGCUGUGCUGCCAAAGCACAGCAGGAAGGAGACGCCUGAUUGAAGGUCAAACUCAGUCUUUUUUAAAAAACUGCUCUUCCUGAGUGAACCUAGAGGUUCCUUUAGGUCAAAAUAGGCUAACCAGUAGGUUUUGGGGCUGAGAAUGGUUUUUAAGUCUUACUAAUCUUCUCUGGAAUGAAACCAGAAAUUUGGGAACCGGAAAGAACGUCUGUGAAAACAGCAGCACGGGGUCCAGGCAACGGCCCCCACUUUCCUGAGUUCUGAACCCGGCUCUGUGGCUUCUCAGGUGAGGAAACGCAGGAAAGAGACCUGCCUGUGGUCCCACCAUCACGUCGCGACAGAGCCGCAGCUGGAAUUCAGGUGUGGUCCUCUUCCCGCUUCUCCACAACUUCCACUUUGGACUUUAAACUUAAUUCCCAGGAUCCUAGGGCCCUUUUUUGUUAUAGACCCCAAAGGCAACUGAAUACAAACACCUAUAAGGCCAGAAAAUACCUCCCUCAUUUUAAUUAUUAAAAACAUUAUGAAAUUGACUAAAUUGUGAUAGAUAUGCAUCCUAAGAGACCAGUAAUUUGCACGAGUUCAUCGUUUUUCUUUAAAUCUUAACAUGAUCUGGAAGGCUUCAGAAGUGCCCUAAUUCUGAUCUUUCUCCGCGUUUUCUUUCGGUUUGUCUCCCUCUGGUGGAUUUAAAAAAAAAUACUUGUUUUUAUUUUCAGAGUAACUAUAGAUUAUUGGGGACAGGUUUUGCUCAAGGUCAGAGUUCAUCUGUUGUCAGCCUGGUUCAUGUUGUGGAACUCCUAGAAAACCAUCUUUCCUGGGUGGGAGUCUUUGCAGAGGCUCGACUUCAGGGAGGGUAGAAACAGGCCCAGCACGUCUGCUCCUUCAUACCUCCGUGAGCGCCAAGAAGCACAUGCGCAGACACAAAGGUGCAUUCAGAGAAUAAGUGGUUUGAAAUGAUUCAGCAUAAAGUGCAAGAGAUUAGCGGUGAAAGGCUGUGGUAAGAGAUGGAGUGGAAGGGUAAGCAGGGACCAAAUCACAGGGCCUUUUAAGUUAUGUUUGAAUCUUAUUUUGUAGGUAAUGGGGAUUGUAUUAGUUAGGAUUAGGCUGCAAAAACAGAAAACCUAUAUAAGUGGCUUUUAAAACAAAAAGUUUACUUCUGUCUGUGUAAAAGAAGUCAGGAAGUAGGCAGUCCAGGGUUUGAUAUGGAGCUCCCUGUCAUCAGUGAUCCAGGGUCCUUCCAGUCACGACUCCAUCUCUAGAGUGUAGCCUUUGUCCUCAUGGUCCAAAAUAGCUGCCAGAGCUCCAGCCAUCAUAUGCAUUUAUGCAAUUGGAUAGCUGCAUUGGCAAUUCAAUCUCAAUUUCCCAGAAAACAAACUGACUGAUUUCUACUCUCAAACCAGCUCUUGCCUUUUGUUCUCUAGCUCCCCAUUUUACUAUAGGAAAGAGCAAUGAAAUGAGACUCAGGAAGUAUGGGAGACUCUGGAGCUGAGGACAGAGAGUGAGUUCAGAAAACAUACAAGAGAGAUUUAAAAAGGAGUGGGGACCAGGCAUGCUAAAUGCUGCACAGAGGUCAAGCCACACAAGAUCUGAAGGUCGGCGUUUACAGAGCUGGCAGUAAGGUUAUCCGUGACCUUGGCAAGGGGGCGUCUACACUUUUUUUGUAGUGCAGAGCCCGAUUCAAUGUUGAAGCUCAGGGACGACAACUGCACCGUUCUUGCCUCUCACUGUCGUGUUGAUGAGCGCCCUGUGCUUGUCCCAGCCGUGGCUGGGACUUACCACUUCCCUUGAGGUUAGCCUCCAGUGAGAAAGAGCUGAAGUCGUCGGAGCUGCGUUUGUGGAAAAAAGCCUGGGUUCUCUGACCCUGUUCGCACCUCAGUUCUGCUCCUCUAGCUCCACUCUGUGUUUCCUGGACAACUGCUUCUCUGGACCUUAAUGGCCCCUGCUCCCUCCUUAGUUUUAACGGCCAUCUUGACUUCUUAGCAUCUUCUUUAGGACACAGUCUGGUGUUCUCCCGGCUUCUACCACUUACAGCUGCCCAGGCCCACAGCCCCGACGGAUG
rnacentral:lncRNA from 1 species